UACGUAGGGUGCAAGCGUUGUCCGGAAUUAUUGGGCGUAAAGAGCUCGUAGGCGGUUUGUCGCGUCUGCUGUGAAAACUCGGGGCUUAACCCCGGGCCUGCAGUGGGUACGGGCAGACUAGAGUGCGGUAGGGGAGACUGGAAUUCCUGGUGUAGCGGUGAAAUGCGCAGAUAUCAGGAGGAACACCGGUGGUGUAGACGGCUCUCUGGACCGUAACUGACGCUGAGACACGAAAGCGUGGGUAGCAAACAGG
rnacentral:rRNA from 1 species